rnacentral:rRNA from 1 species
CCUACGGGAGGCUGCAGUGAGGAAUAUUGGUCAAUGGACGCAAGUCUGAACCAGCCAAGCAGCGUGCAGGAAGACGGCCCUAUGAGUUGUAAACUGCUUUUGUACGAGGGUAAAUCCCGAUACGUGUAUCGUGUUGCAAGUACCGUACGAAUAAGGAUCGGCUAACUCCGUGCCAGCAGCCGCGGUAAUACGGAGGGUUCAAGCGUUAUCCGGAUUUAUUGGGGUUAAAGGGGGCGUAGGCGGUUCGCUAAGUUAGUGGUGAAAUCCCGCGGCUCAACUCCGGCACUGCCUCUGAGACGGUCGGGCUAGAGUUUAGUUGCGGUAGGCGGAAUGUGUGGUGUAGCGGUGAAAUGCUUAGAUAUCAUGCAGAACUCCGAUUGCGAAGGCAGCUUACCAAACUGCGACUGACGUUGAGGCACGAAAGCGUGGGUAGCAAACAGGAUUAGAUACCCGUGUAGUC